UUUGAGGAGAGAAUUAGUUAGAAAAAAAACCUACUCACAUACACACCUUAACACUCUCCCUAACUCAGCACACACUACAGACUCUUCCAAAAAAUAAAUAAAUUAAAAACAGCAAAAAAAGGCCAACACUGAGAGCCUCCUAGUCUUCUCUCCUUCCAUCGUCAUAAGAGCACAAAAAUAGCCCCCCCUUUCCUGUCGAACCACAGGAGCUCCUCUCCACCAUCCACUACUGUGAGUGGCACUAUAACCAUUAACAACCCUUUCUGCCAGCUUCACUCCUCUCCUUUUGUCUUCCUCAACAACGAGAUUUCCUUUUUCCACUCACCACCGGCGACUAAGCAACGACAACAUCACCUAUAAAUGUUGUACUUACAAAGAGAGAGAUUCUCUCCGAACGCCCGAUCGAUGGCCCUCACGGUAAGGAAGUUUACUACUUUCUUCAACCCAGCAAAAGAGCAUAUUCUUCGUUAUUCGUUAGAGUGACCGUUUGCGGAUCCAGGAGUUCCAGUAUAGUAGGCGAGUACAAUGGGAAUAAAUAAAGUUUUUGGCUUGACUCGGAAACCGCUAGUCAACUCGUAAGCAUAGCCAGGGGAGAUAUAAAUGGGAGUCACAUGGAUCAUUGCAUGGCCAUGGACAGUCGAGAGGCUUAGAUUAAUGAAUAGACAUCAUCUUUACCAAAAAAUCUAAAAUAUUUGGUGGUGGUUUCGUUCUUGCAUAUAAACUACCUGUCUUUUUUGUUUUUUGUUUUUGUUUUUAUGAGAUAUUUUCUUACAACUUACACAUGGAUGUGCAUGUACCUCAAGAUUUUUUUUUAUGAUCUAAAACUAGACACCCGAAAUUUCAAAACCCUUUAAAAGAUAAGUUUUUACCUUUUCCAUACUAUACUCUUCGUAUAUAUUCUCCUCGUUUUAGUCCACAAAAUCUGAUGUAUCAUAUAUAGCACUUCAAAUUUUAAUCACUAUGGAACAUUAGAAGUGAAUAGGGGGAGGAAAAUGGAGAGUAGGUGUGGAUCAAUAAAUGGCACAAAUUUUCUAUACGAAUAAAUUAGUUAGUGGGUUUCAUAUAUUGUACUUGUGAAUGAGUGACCAUUGUUUUAUCUUCGGGAUGAAAUCCAAACCAUCGACCUGGGCUAAAAUUUUGAUGUUGCACUCGAAUUAAUUCUCCAAAAUUGUGUUAUUCUUAGUGGGAAUAUUGUGACUUGGUUGACCCUAUAACUAAGUUGCGGGCUGCAAGUAACUAGAUAGAAAUAAUAUGAUCAAUUUAAAUAAAUUAUUUGAUCAAUUUCACAAUUACAAAACCCUGUUCAUCAAAUCUCAGAUCAUGCAGCUAGCAAUCAAAGAACAUUAAGAAAGCAAUUGGUGUCAUCUUUAUCCUUUCCACUUCACAAUGAUGCAUCAUCAACCAAAGUGAGUGAAUGAGAUAGUUUCCCGGGCCUGGCUAAAUAUGACUAAUUACAUCUGAUUUUGUUGGCAAAAUUACUACAAGCGAGAUGGAUAUGAAUUAACAGGGAAGUAAGAAACUACAAUGGGAGCUCCUGAUGAUUUUGAUUUGCCCUUUGACUUCUCUGAUUUGGGCGCUUUUACUUCUGGAACUGAAACAUUGUCAGUGGAGACUCGUGAGCAAAAAGAGGGAACAAAGCAGCUGAAAAUUGCCGAGAACUUAGCCAUUGUGGCUUUGUAUUGCUUGCUUGACGUUUCUUUCUCCGUGAAGAGAGGCACUUGGUGUUUGUUCUUUAGCUUAACAAUUAGGAAUUGCUAGUAAGAGCAACGAGAGGGGAAAAGCAAGCUUGGAGAAGGCACGUUGGAAGCUAAGUUGAUGAAUUCCUUUUUUUUUCAAGCAGUCUAUUGGGCCUGUGAAUGUAACGCAAAAGAAUUGGCUGUUUAUAAUGAGAUAAAAAUGAAGCGUGUGAGAGAAGUUUAUGCUUUA